rnacentral:rRNA from 1 species
UACGUAGGGACCAAGCGUUGUUCGGAUUUACUGGGCGUAAAGGGCACGUAGGCGGCAAUUCAAGUCAUCUGUGAAAUCUCCGGGCUUAACUCGGAACGGUCAGAUGAUACUGCUUUGCUAGAGUGCGGAAGGGGCAAUCGGAAUUCUCGGUGUAGCGGUGAAAUGCGUAGAUAUCGAGAGGAACACCUGAGGUGAAGACGGGUUGCUGGGCCGACACUGACGCUGAAGCGCGAAAGCCAGGGGAGCAAACGGG